rnacentral:rRNA from 1 species
GACGAACGCUGGCGGCGUGCUUAACACAUGCAAGUCGAACGGAAAGGCCCUGCUUUUGUGGGGUGCUCGAGUGGCGAACGGGUGAGUAACACGUGAGUAACCUGCCCUUGACUUUGGGAUAACUUCAGGAAACUGGGGCUAAUACCGGAUAGGAGCUCCUGCUGCAUGGUGGGGGUUGGAAAGUUUCGGCGGUUGGGGAUGGACUCGCGGCUUAUCAGCUUGUUGGUGGGGUAGUGGCUUACCAAGGCUUUGACGGGUAGCCGGCCUGAGAGGGUGACCGGCCACAUUGGGGCUGAGAUACGGCCCAGACUCCUACGGGAGGCAGCAGUGGGGAAUAGUGCACAAUGGGCGGAAGCCUGAUGCAGCAACGCCGCGUGCGGGAUGACGGCCUUCGGGUUGUAAACCGCUUUCGCCUGUGACGAAGCGUGAGUGACGGUAAUGGGUAAAGAAGCACCGGCUAACUACGUG